rnacentral:rRNA from 1 species
UAGGCAAAUCCGGUACUCGUUAAGGCUGAGCUGUGAUGGGGAGAAGACAUUGUGUCUUCGAGUCGUUGAUUUCACACUGCCGAGAAAAGCCUCUAGAUAGAAAAUAGGUGCCCGUACCGCAAACCGACACAGGUAGUCAAGAUGAGAAUUCUAAGGUGAGCGAGCGAACUCUCGUUAAGGAACUCGGCAAAAUGACCCCGUAACUUCGGGAGAAGGGGUGCUCUUUAGGGUUAACGCCCAGAAGAGCCGCAGUGAAUAGGCCC